CAUUACACAAUAAAAUAUGAAGGCCUGGCUUCGCGGCCGGCUGAAAUAUUUUUUCACCCAUGUCUUUUGCGCACUUGUUGUUUCCUGGGCGGGUUCGCCCGCCACCAGGACCAAACCAUAAACCUUUUUCUUAUGCAGUUUCCAUCAGCGUCAGUAAAAACAAUGUAAUAAUUACAACUUUCAACAACGGAUCUCUUGGUUCUGGCAUCGAUGAAGAACGCAGCGAAAUGCGAUACGUAGUGUGAAUUGCAGAAUUCAGUGAAUCAUCGAAUCUUUGAACGCACAUUGCGCCCUUUGGUAUUCCAAAGGGCAUGCCUGUUCGAGCGUCAUUUGUACCUUCAAGCUUUGCUUGGUGUUGGGCGUUUUUGUCUCCCUCUUUCUGGGAGACUCGCCUUAAAACGAUUGGCAGCCGGCCUACUGGUUUCGGAGCGCAGCACAUUUUUUGCGCUUUGUAUCAGGAGAAAAGGACGGUACUCCAUCAAGACUUUUACAAUUUUAACUUUUGACCUCGGAUCAGGUAGGGAUACCCGCUGAACUUAAGCAUAUCAAUAA
rnacentral:sRNA from 1 species